CAGAGAAGAGAGCAGGUCGAUCCCCACUCUUCAAAACCCUAGAACUUCACUAAACUUGCAAAUUGAAGGUCCAAUUCAGUCCAAAAUCGAAAUUAAAGCAUGGAUUAUUGAUCCUCAUCACAAGAGGAUUAAAAGUUUGACUCUUGACAAGCUAGAAGGAGACUUGGGCAAGGAACGGGUCAAACGGUUCGUGUAUGGGAAAAAGAGCAUAACCGGAGGCAAGGACCGAUUAGCAAAUCGGAUAAUUUCGUCACUAUUGAUUUUGUGAUAAUGAAAACAAGGUAUAAAACGGGUCUACUUGUUGAUCCGGGCCAGGUACGCAUAUUCAUGUUGUAGUUUAAAUUGCUAUUUUGGUCGAAUAAAUGGGAAAGAGAGUCUUUCGUAGUAAAAAGA